rnacentral:rRNA from 1 species
AAUAGAUACCCCGGUAGUCCACGCCGUAAACGAUGAGUGCUAAGUGUUAGAGGGUUUCCGCCCUUUAGUGCUGCAGCUAACGCAUUAAGCACUCCGCCUGGGGAGUACGGCCGCAAGGCUGAAACUCAAAGGAAUUGACGGGGGCCCGCACAAGCGGUGGAGCAUGUGGUUUAAUUCGAAGCAACGCGAAGAACCUUACCAGGUCUUAACAUCCUCUGCCAACCCUAGAGAUAGGGCGUUCCCCUUCGGGGGACAGAGUGACAGGUGGUGCAUGGUUGUCGUCAGCUCGUGUCGUGAGAUGUUGGGUUAAGUCCCGCAACGAGCGCAACCCUUGAUCUUAGUUGCCAGCAUUCAGUUGGGCACUCUAAGGUGACUGCCGGUGACAAACCGGAGGAAGGUGGGGAUGACGUCAAAUCAUCAUGCCCCUUAUGACCUGGGCUACACACGUGCUACAAUGGAUGGUACAAAGAGCUGCGAACCCGCGAGGGUAAGCGAAUCUCAUAAAGCCAUUCUCAGUUCGGA